rnacentral:misc_RNA from 1 species
GAUGAAGAACGCAGCGAAAUGCGAUAAGUAAUGUGAAUUGCAGAAAUCAGUGAAUCAUCGAAUCUUUGAACGCACAUUGCGCCCGCCAGUAUUCUGGCGGGCAUGCCUGUUCGAGCGUCAUUACAACCCUCAGGCCCCCGGGCCUGGCGUUGGGGAUCGGCGGAGCCCCCCGUGGGCACACGCCGUCCCCCAAAUGCAGUGGCGGUCCCGCCGCAGCUUCCAUCGCGUAGUAGCUAACACCUCGCGACUGGAGAGCGGCGCGGCCACGCCGUAAAACACCCAACUCUUCUGAAGUUGACCUCGAAUCAGGUAGGAAUACCCGCUGAACUUAAGCAUAUCAAUAAGCGGAGGA